GCUGUUUUUAGAUCUUCCUCCUUUGUGGUGAACAGGAGAAACUGUUGGUCUGGCAGUUUUUGACUGAUGUCAGUUUUUACAUCCUCCUGCUGAAAUGCAGGGAAGGUCAUUUCACGCUUGAUGCUGGUUGCCUUGAGGCUCGCCCGGAGGGGGCCCUUGCCGUGGGCGCUCAGCGCCGGGGGGGGGCUCCCCAAGCCGCCUUCCUCCUCCUCCUCUUCCUCCUCCACCUCCACCACCACGUCCUCGUCCUCGUCCUCCUCCUCCACCGCGGCGGCCGAGCCCUCCCGCCGGGGCGGCCUCCAGGCGCUCUCGGGCUUGGGGGGCCGGGCCCCGUCCGUCUGCGCGGCCGCCGGCCCCGCGCUCAGCCGCCGGCUGCCCAUGCUGGAGCGCUUGGCCAGGCGCCGCGCCUGCAUCGUGCCCCGCCCGGCCCGGCCCGCUCAGCGCAGGCUGCGGGCGGCGGCCCCGCCGCGGGCGCGCAGCGGCAGCGCAGAGCCGAAGGGGCGGCGGCGGCGGCGCUCACCGGGGGGCGGCGGUGGGUGUGUGCGGCGGGCGCGCCGCGGCCAUGGGGGCCCGGGGCGCGGCGAGGCGGGACCGGAGCCGGCGCGGCC
rnacentral:lncRNA from 1 species